GAUGAACGCUGGCGGCGUGCCUAAUACAUGCAAGUCGAGCGAACAGACGAGGAGCUUGCUCCUCUGACGUUAGCGGCGGACGGGUGAGUAACACGUGGAUCACCUACCUAUCAUACUGGGAUAACUUCGGGACACCGGAGCUAAUACCGGAUAAUAUAUUGAACCGCAUGGUUCAAUAGUGAAAGACGGUUUUGCUGUCACUUAUAGAUGGAUCCGCGCCGCAUUAGCUAGUUGGUAAGGUAACGGCUUACCACGGCAACGAUGCGUAGCCGAGCUGAGAGGGUGAUCGCCGACAUUGGAACUGAGACGCGGUCCAGAGUCCUACGGGAGGCAGCAGUAGGGAAUCUGACGCAAUGGGCGAAAGCCUGACGGAGCAACCCGGCGCGAGUUAUGAAGGCGCUCCGAGCGUAAAACUCUCUUAUGAGGUAAGAACAACUGUGGAAGGAACCAUGCCCGUCUUGACGGUACCGAAUCAGAAAGCCACGGCUAACUACGUG
rnacentral:rRNA from 1 species